CAAGGUCUCCGUUGGUGAACCAGCGGAGGGAUCAUUAACGAGUUCCAUUCUCCUUAAUACACCCGUGAACGUUUCUUCAACUGUUCGUUGCUUCGGCGGAGCGGCCCCGGGGAGGGGCCGCAGCCCGCAAGGGCGCCCGCCGGCGGCAGCGCAGCACAACUCUUGCGAUUUAGGCCCCUCUGAGAAGACACUAAAUGAGUCAAAACUUUCAACAACGGAUCUCUUGGUUCUGGCAUCGAUGAAGAACGCAGCGAAAUGCGAUAAGUAAUGUGAAUUGCAGAACUCAGCGAAUCAUCGAAUCUUUGAACGCACAUUGCGCCCGCCGGCAUUCCGGCGGGCAUGCCUGUUCGAGCGUCAUUUCAACCCUCGAGCCCUGCUCGGUGUUGGGGCCCCGCGGCCGCCGCGGGCCCUGAAAAGAAGUGGCGGGCGCGCCUGGACCCGUAGCGCAGUAAUACACCUCGCUCGCGGCGUCCCGGCGCGUGCCGGCCGUAAAACCCCUUUAUCUCAAGGUUGACCUCGGAUCAGGUAGGAAUACCCGCUGAACUUAAGCA
rnacentral:rRNA from 1 species